rnacentral:rRNA from 1 species
CCUACGGGAGGCAGCAGUGAGGAAUAUUGGUCAAUGGACGCAAGUCUGAACCAGCCAUGCCGCGUGCAGGAAGACGGCUCUCUGAGUUGUAAACUGCUUUUGUACGAGGGUAAACGCAGAUACGCGUAUCUGUCUGAAAGUAUCGUACGAAUAAGGAUCGGCUAACUCCGUGCCAGCCGCCGCGGUAAUACGGAGGAUUCAAGCGUUAUCCGGAUUUAUUGGGUUUAAAGGGUGCGUAGGCGGUCGGGUAAGUUAGAGGUGAAAUCCCGAGGCUCAACUUCGGAAUUGCCUCUGAGAUUGUUCGGCUAGAGAGUAGUUGCGGUAGGCGGAAUGUAUGGUGUAGCGGUGAAAUGCUUAGAGAUCAUACAGAACACCGAUUGCGAAGGCAGCUUACCAAGCUACUUCUGACGUUGAGGCACGAAAGCGUGGGGAGCAAACAGGAUUAGAUACCCGAGUAGUC